AUUCCAGAUAGGCGGGUUACCCUGACCAGGUUUGCAGUUCGUCCUCCUGGAAAUGGUGGUAGUUUGGACGACUAUCCCCGCCUGUCGGUGGAAUCCUGUUGUAGAUCUGAACGUGUGCAGCUAGGAUUCCACCAGAAUGUCGGCCCUGUGAGGGGCCCUUAUCUCAGGGAUGAGAAUUUGUACAGUCGUGUUUGCAGGUAAGGCUGCAGAUGAAGCCAUUGGGGCUGCAGCUGGUGCUUGUCCUGGUGUCACAAUAUGCAUGUUGCCGGGGCGUUGGAGGGAAAAGCUGUAUAGGAUGAGGGACAGAUUGGGCCAUGCCGCACUCUCAAGAGAAAGCAUUGUGGCCGUCUGCCACAGCUCUGAUUUCCGUAUGCCUUCUGGCAUCUGACGCCACGUCGUGGUCAGGCCGGACCCACGGCAGUUUCUGUGGAGGCACGGCAAUGACAGUCCCAACGGGCAGCAAAUGCUGAGCUGGCCUCUCCCCAGCCUCCAUCCUGUGAGGUCCCUUGUCCAGAUGUGGACAUGCAAGCUGGCUUUGAUACGGAGCAGGCACUGCUCUCUCUGGUCUCAGGGAUGGUGCUGCUGGGUGGAGGAGCGGGUGCUGCUUGCAGCGAAUGAGGUCCCAGUGAGCCGGCUGACGUGCCCAGGCCUGGCCCACAUCAGACCUGGCUGCCAGGGACUCAGAGGGCUGCUCCUGCAGGCCGAGUGUCCAGGCUCACUCACCAGCCCUCCAACGUUCCGAAGCUUCAAGCCCUUAUCUAACACUAGUUCACGAAGCAGUAGUGAUGGCUUCCACUGAGGUUAUCUAAAAAUGGCAGAUUUAAAGUGAGUGGGUGGUUUUGGGGCUGAUAGGAAAGGAAGUAAGCAUCGCCCAGGUCUUACCUGAGUUACUGUCUCAAGGCUGGUGCCAUGAGCAAGGAGGGCAGGAGCUAGCACGUGCAUGCAUGUGCGUGUGUGAGCAGGUGUGCGUCCUGGAGUCAGCAUGUGCAUGUGUGUCUGUGAGCAGGUGUGCGUCAGGUCCACAUGGCAUUUUCAUUCACUGUGUUACCUUCAGGCUCUAUGCCUUUAGAACAGAGUGGGCCCUGGAGGGCUGGGCUGCAAACUUGUGCCUCUGCUUGUGUGGGGAUUCCCUUUACCUGUUGAAAUGCGUCCAUGUGUGACCAAUUCACAUAUCCCACGCUCUCUUUGAUGCUGGUCGCCGCUUGCCCAAGUCCACGGUGUAGACACGUAUACCCAAGGCUCUUCAUCUGUUUGCUUCUCAUGUGGCCUUGUAGACAUCGGGAGAACCACACAUGCGGGCGCGUGCACCCACACCCCCACACCCAUGGGUCUGCUUCCCACGGGAUUCCCCCCACUGGCAUCACCACGGCCUGGCUCACUGGGCCCUGGCCAAUUGGAUCCCCUGCGUUUAUAUACCCAGCUCACGGGGGCACAGAGAAGUGUGUGUAGAGGUUGUAAUUUGAGAUGUCUGUGGAGGACGGGUUUCUGCGAAUAUAAUUGAACAUUAUCAAUGGCGUCUAUUCUAACAGGUGUGAGAGGCAAUUUCAUUGUGAUUUUUUUUUAUUGAAAUAUAGUUCAUGCACAAUAUUAUGUUGUUUGAGGUGUACAGCAUAGUGGCUUGACAAUUAUAAACAUUACUAAAUGCUCACCAGGACUCAAGGUUACCAUCUGUUACGCUACAAAAAUAAUGGCAUAUUCCAGUAUCUUAAGCAGACUAUUCCGUAGCAGACUACAUGCCCUCUGCUGUCCUUUAUCCCCCACAUUUAUUUGAUGACUGGAAUUGUGCACCUCUUUGAUGUGUAAGCCCCUGAUGGUCAGUGAUGUGGAGCAUCUUUCACGUGUCUGUUGGCCAUCUGUAUGUCUUCUUUGGAAAAAUGCCUAUUCAGAUCUUCUUCCCAUUUUUUUGUCAGGUUUUUUUUUUCCUACUGAGCUGUAUGUGUUUUUUAUGUGUUUCGGUAUUGACCGCUUAUCAGAUAUGAUUUGCACACAUUUCCUCCCAUCCUGUAGGUCACGUUUUCAUCUUGUUGCUGUUUCCAUGCUGUGUUGCUUCCAGUUAUACGUCUGCUCGCACGUGUGCUGUUCUGCAGGGGCCCGCGUCUGUCUCCAUCUCUUCCUCCUAGGUCACGGGAGGCCGUCUCUCCAUCUCUGGGUGCAUCUCUGCUCUGUAUUCGGUUAAAAAAGAACCUGAGCGUUCUGGGUGUGAAUCACAGCUUCCUGAGUGUCCUCAGUGAGGAAUCUUUGUGAGCAAAUAAUCUAUCACCUGUCACCUCCAGGAAGUGGUGUUAGUGCAAGCUGAUCUUGGGACAGUGACCCUGGGUGUCUCUAACGUGAGAGCAGUGUUUGAAUACCUGAGCAGGCUCUGCCCAGCCAGGUGCUCAGAACACAAAGAAAUGAGAUGGCUCUUCCCUUCCGUGUGUCUACAGGGCAAACCAUACGUCACAGUGAAUCACUGUCAUGAAAUCGGCCAGGAGUCUGGAUGCCUCCGUACAUCUGCUACGGGCUGUAUUUGAAACAGACUGGAGGAAAUACAGUGCCUCCAGUAACUCCUGGGACGGCAGAAGGCACCACACCAGUCGAGGGGUCCGCCUGGGUGGCAUCAGCUCACAAGGCUACAGAUCAGCUGCUAAUAGGUGCUGCGUCUCUCCUACAUGGUACCUGCCUCUCUCCUCCACUGGCCAAGGCAUCUUUUAGUCUCGAAGGAGCUCUGGGAAAGGGAGGCAAUGACAACACGCCAUGCCUUACUGAGCAUAACUAACCUGCUGUAAAGUCUAAAGGAAAACAAUCUAAUUCUUCGUCCACUGACCCUGAGGCUUCCGAUCUUAUUCCUUCAUCUCACACCUCACGUGCACGUCAUUCUGAGGCACCUUCUUCCAGACCUAGGUCAUGUCCCGCACCUCUCCGCUGCUGACGCUCUCACCGGAGCCACCAGCAAGCACGCGGGUUGUCGCCGAAUCUCUGAGCCGGGCUGCAGGUCCCCAGCAAGGAAGAGUGUCUGCAACACUGUCGGUUCUAAAUGAGAACUGCGAACGCGCUCAGCGAACCAGGCUCUCUCCGCAGGCUCCGGGGCCGUCCUCCGUGCUGUCAGCAUCUUGCACCUGCUCUCAUCAGCACCCCAAGGCCUGAAGCUCCGGACAGCACGCCUCGGGGCAGAGUGAAGUAUUAGUGCUCUUUGCGGCUUUCAAACAAAACAAUGGCCCCUUAAAGACACUGAGGUUGAAGAGGGAUGAAUCUAGCGCGGGAAUGCAGAAGCUGUGGACAGGGGUGAAGGACCGAACCCAG